ACGGGAGGCAGCAGUGGGGAAUAUUGGGCAAUGGGGGAAACCCUGACCCAGCAACGCCGCGUGAAGGAAGAAGGCCUUCGGGUUGUAAACUUCUUUUACCAGGGACGAAGAAUGACGGUACCUGGAGAAAAAGCAACGGCUAACUACGUGCCAGCAGCCGCGGUAAUACGUAGGUUGCAAGCGUUGUCCGGAUUUACUGGGUGUAAAGGGCGUGUAGGCGGAGAUGCAAGUCAGAAGUGAAAUCUAGGGGCUCAACCCCUAAACUGCUUUUGAAACUGCAUCCCUUGAGUAUCGGAGAGGCAGGCGGAAUUCCUAGCGUAGCGGUGAAAUGCAUAGAUAUUAGGAGGAACACCAGUGGCGAAGGCGGCCUGCUGGACGACAACUGACGCUGAGGCGCGAAAGCGUGGGGAGCAAACAGGAUUAGAUACCCUGGUA
rnacentral:rRNA from 1 species